rnacentral:sRNA from 1 species
GAGUAUGGGCACGGACAUCUCUAUUUGGACCGCUUUUCCGGCCAAAUACCAUCCGAAAAUGCACAAAGACUACAAAAUAUGAUCCUCACGAAUGUGUUAUAGUUCGUCAAGCAGCUGCAGCGACAACAGUUCCUGCUCUAUCACCAUUCCCGUUAAAACUGGAGACAUAUCUAAGACUAGCUAACAUUCCUUACAAAAAUCGUUUUGGAGGAGCCUUUUCUUCCAAAGGAAAAAUACCCUGGAUUCAGUACAAGGACGAUGUAAUUGCAGACUCGAAUUUUUGUAUCAAGUAUCUGAAUGAAAGGUUUUCUGUUGAUUUGGAUGCAGAUUUAAGCAGAUCCGAGAAAGGAAUUGCUCGAAGUAUGUUGACUAUGAUUGAAGAAAAUACCUACUGGUAAGAUUGUACACAGAUAGACCACAGUUUCUGAAUUUAUGACGCUGAAAAUAAAGAUUAUUCUCUGCGAAAAAGGCUUUAUCUUCCUCGCGAGAGAGAUAAAGCAAGGACAAUAAGAAGUCUUUGUUUUCAUGGGUACAAAGUUCAAAUUAUACUCUCUUAUUACAUCGACUUGAGGACAAUGGUUUAUUAUCGCUGGAUAGAAAAUACUGAAGAAAUAGUAGACCUUCUUUUCCAAGCUGCUUCCCCUCUAAAGAAACAAAUCAUAGCCUAUGGUGGCAAACGCAGAGUCAUGAAAUACCUCCAUGGUCAUGGCAUGGGACGACACUCAAGCGAAGAAAUCUACCAUAUUGCAUCAUGUGACCUUGAGUCAAUAUCUGGAUUGCUUUCGAAUAAGCCAUUCCUGAUGGGUGAGAAGCCAACUGUUGUUGAUACGGCUGCCUUUGGUUUUCUUGCAAACAUUGUCUGGCACGAUGUGAAGUCCCCACAACACUCUAUGAUUACAAGGAACUUUAAGAAUCUAGAGGAGUAUUGCAUUCGCAUAAAGGAACUUGUGUGGCCAGAUUGGGAUGAGGAGAUAGAAAAGAGGAAAGCAAUAGCUCUAAGGAAGAAGUAACUCACAUAAUCUUUAGGUCAGGAAGGACGGAAGAAACAAAAAUGAAGAGAAGAAAAAGAGAAGAUCAACAUAAAAGGCAAAGAAAUCUAAUUAUAAUCAAGACAGUCGUAAAACAAUUACUCUUUCAAAGCACAACACUAACUUAUAUCAAUGAUUAUGGGUUAUCUUUUUUGGGGAAAAAUAUAGGUAUCCCAGAAUCCUCUCUCUUUGCUCUGAUAGCGUCAUCUGUUCAUCCUUGAUGACAGUAUGGUUAUUCUGUAAGGAAUCGAUAGCCUUACGAUAGAAACUGACUGAUCCAUUUUUUCUUCGUUGGAAUACAGUCCCACCCCCACUGUUGUGAUGUCACAGUAAACUUGAAAGGUAUCUUGGCUAUCAGGCUGUACUGUGUGCACACCAUCACGUCUCAUAGGCGGUUGAAGGUUGGAAUACAGUCCCACCCCCACUGUUGUGAUGUCACAGUAAACUUGAAAGGUAUCUUGGCUAUCAGGCUGUACUGUGUGCACACCAUCACGUCUCAUAGGCGGUUGAAGGUUGGAAUACAGUCNCACCCCCACUGUUNUGAUGUCACAGUAAACUUGAAAGGUAUCUUGGCUAUCAGGCUGUACUGUGUACACACCAUCACGUCUCAUAGGNCGUUGAAGGUCUCUUUUAGCACUAGCAUUCAAUAUAAAAUGAAGUCUCAAGGGCAUUCAAUACCCUUUGAACAUGUGAUCUUUGGUUUAAGAGGCAAAUGGUAAACCAUUCUUUGUGCAUGUCAUUUUUAAAUCCUUUUGUAGACUGGCCCAAUGGUUAAGUUCAUUUGAUGGCAAAAGUUGACGUCAUUGGCUCUUUAUUUACUUUAGCGUUUUACAUCGAUAGGUCUCUGACGGGGAUUUAUUCAGUUUCCUUUUCUUGUCAGCAGUGAUUCUCUUAAGCAUUUUCCUUACUUCACACUUCAACAGGUCGUGGAUACCCACUACGAAAACAAUACAAGAUGAUCUUCUGACUUUUUUUUUGUGUGUCCAUUCUCGGCCUUUGUUCCGAGUAUGAACUGCAGUUUUGUUUUCUCCCUGAUGGUCAUGACAAAGUGUUCUUUUAUCUCAGGGUGUCAUUUUUCUCCUGGUGGACCUCGAGGUCCCACAAAGCUUGAAUUAUUUUCUUAAAACGUAUAGGUUGACAAAAUGUCAUCUUUGCAUCUUUUUUAAAAAUAGUUUAAUAAAAACUCAGGGAGUAGGCUGAGAAAUAUCAUUUAGGUUGACAAAAUGUCAUCUUUGCAUCUUUUUUAAAAAUAGUUUAAUAAAAACUCAGGGAGUAGGCUGAGAAAUAUCAUUUAGGUUGACAAAAUGUCAUCUUUGCAUCUUUUUUAAAAAUAGUUUAAUAAAAACUCAGGGAGUAGCCUGAGAAAUAUCGCUUAGGUUGACAAAAUGCAUCUUUUUUAAAAAUGGUUAUAAAAAAACUCAGGGAGUAGCCUGAGAAAUAUCGCUUAGGUUGACAAAAUGCAUCUUUUUUAAAAAUGGUUAUAAAAAAACUCAGGGAGUAGCCUGAGAAAUAUCGCUUAGGUUGACAAAAUGCAUCUUUUUUAAAAAUGGUUAUAAAAAAACUCAGGGAGUAGCCUGAGAAAUAUCGCUUAGGUUGACAAAAUGUCAUCUUUGCAUCUUUCUUUAAAAAUAGUUAAAUAAAAACUCAGGGUGUAGCCUGAGAAAUAUCAUUUAGGUUGACAAAAUGUCAUCUUUGCAUCUUUUUUAAAAAUAGUUUAAUAAAAACUCAGGGAGUAGGCUGAGAAAUAUCAUUUAGGUUGACAAAAUGUCAUCUUUGCAUCUUUUUUAAAAAUAGUUUAAUAAAAACUCAGGGAGUAGUCUGAGAAUUAUCGUUUAGGUUGACAAAAUGCAUCUUUUUAAAAACUAGUUUAAUAAAAACUCAGGGAGUAGCCUGAGGAAUAAUGUCAUCUUUGCAUCUUUUUUAAAAAUAGUCAAAUAAAAACUCAGGGAGUAUCCUGAGAAAUAUCGCUUAUGUUGUCAAAAUAUCAACUUUUUCAAAAAUAGUUAAAUAAAAACUCAGUGAGUAGGCUGAGAAAUAUCGCUUAGGUUGACAAAAUGUCAUCUUUGCAUCUUUUUUAAAAAUAGUCAAAUAAAAAUUCAGGGAGUAGCCUGAGAAAUAUCACUUAAGUUGACAGAAUGUCAUCUUUGCAUCUUUUUUUAAAGUUAUUGAUGAAAAUUCAAGGGUUAGACUGAGGUCACAAAAUGUCGGCUGUUCAUGUUUUAAUAGUUCUUAAUGAUAUUAGUUAAUAAAUUAAGUGAACAUGAUUUUGUUACGAAAGGUUUUCUUAAAUGCAAAUUACUAUCACAAUUAACAAUUUAAUAUACUACACUGAUCUAUAUGCUAGAUUAUUUUCUUCAUAAAAUGUAUAAUACGUAUUUUUUUCUAUUCUGGUGCAAAGGCCUAAUAAAAGUGUCUGCUGUUCAUCUUUUCAAAAUAGUAAAAGUAAUAUUAGUUAAUAAUUUAAGUGAGCAUGAUUUUGUUACGAAAAGUUUUCGUAAAUGCAACUUUAUUAUUUUCUUUCAUAAAAUGUAUAUUACGUAUUUAUUCUCUUCUGGCGCAAAAGUCUAAUAAAAAUGUCUGUCUGUC